GGGCCUUUCCCAGCCCCGAGCGCAUCAGAAGGCAGCGGCGGGCAGUUGAAGAGAGAACAACCCGAUGGCUUAGAAAUCUCACGUUGUUCUUAACCGCUGUUUACAAAUUUUGGAGAGAGUUUCCAAGCAAAUUACAGCAUCAUCCUACGGCAAGCUGACAAAGAGGUUCCAGGAAUGCCACGCAUCUAGGAGGGAAAUACGAAUCCCUCUCUUUAGCCUGAAGCACGAAAUUGGCUUAAAGCUCAUUUUGCAGAUAACCAGAAACGAAAUCACCCGUGUGUGUACCAGGUAGCUACAACUUUAUGUCGCUCUGCAGCAAUUUCUAAGAAUUUCUGAAGGGAAAUAAAAACAAACAAACAACAGUAAAAAAAGUGAACCGCA